CCUACGGGAGGCAGCAGUGGGGAAUAUUGGACAAUGGGGGCAACCCUGAUCCAGCCAUGCCGCGUGUGUGAAGAAGGCCCUCGGGUUGUAAAGCACUUUCAGUGAGGAAGAACGCCUGGUGGUUAAUACCCAUCAGGAAAGACAUCACUCACAGAAGAAGCACCGGCUAACUCCGUGCCAGCAGCCGCGGUAAUACGGAGGGUGCGAGCGUUAAUCGGAAUUACUGGGCGUAAAGCGCGCGUAGGUGGCUUGAUAAGCCGGUUGUGAAAGCCCCGGGCUCAACCUGGGAACGGCAUCCGGAACUGUCAAGCUAGAGUGCAGGAGAGGAAGGUAGAAUUCCCGGUGUAGCGGUGAAAUGCGUAGAGAUCGGGAGGAAUGCCAGUGGCGAAGGCGGCCUUCUGGACUGACACUGACACUGAGGUGCGAAAGCGUGGGUAGCAAACAGGAUUAGAUACCCGUGUAGUC
rnacentral:rRNA from 1 species